rnacentral:rRNA from 1 species
CCUACGGGUGGCAGCAGUGGGGAAUAUUGCACAAUGGGGGAAACCCUGAUGCAGCGACGCCGCGUGAGUGAAGAAGUAUUUCGGUAUGUAAAGCUCUGUCAGCAGGGAAGAAAGUGACGGUACCUGAUUACGAAGCCCCGGCUAACUACUUGCCAGCAGCCGCGGUAAUACGUAGGGGGCAAGCGUUCUCCGGAAUUACUGGGUGUAACGGGAGCGGAGACGGCAGCACAAGUCUGGAGUGAAAUGCCGGGGCUUAACCCCGGAACUGCUUUGGACACUGUGCAGCUAGAGUGCAGGAGAGGGAAGUGGAAUUCCUAGUGUAGCGGUGAAAUGCGUAGAUAUAUGGAAGAACACCAGGGGCGAAAGCGGCUAUCUGGUAUGUAACUGACGCUGAGGUGCGAAAGCGUGGGUAGCAAACAGGAUUAGAUACCCUUGUAGUC